AAAACUCUUUAAAUAAUAAAGAAUUAACCCCGAAAUCACAGAUCCCAACUCUCGUCAGCUACUUCAAUCCGAUCUUAUCUGCAAUGCCAUCUACUCUCGUAGAAGUACGAUCAUCGUAGGUGGAAACCACAACCACAAACAUGCAAGGGUGAGCAACCAAAAACAUCAUCAUAAAAUAUAAUACAGUAAAACAACAUCAAACACAAGCUAUACCAAGUAAUGAAUUCAUAUCUCAACGCUUAAACAAUAUCACACCAACCCAUUUAUAAACCAAUGUUGUUUUCCUUAUACUUUGUCGUCCCAACCUAUUACGCAAAACAGGGCGAUUCGAGUCGUCCUCCAUCGCAACUUCAGACCUAUCUCCCCGACUUAUCGAAAAGCCCUUUGGGCGAGACAUUCACCUCCUUUCGCAAAAGGAAGUGACACUCAAUCUCUGUCUCUAUACGAGACCCAACAUCCUUAUCGUAUCGCAAUACGAAAGGCUCACACAAACGAAAAUAGUAUGAAGAAAAUAACAAUUUCAUGUUCAUAUCACAAUUUCAUAGACAUUCGCAUUAUCAUUCGUUCCUCCAUAAAUCAUAAGAUUUAUCUCACCAUUCUUAAAAUAUACAUAGUCUUAACUACAUGCAUUGCUCACCGAUUAGAAAAACUUAUAACACAGCCUUAAUACCUUUCAUACAUAGUCUCAAUAAUAAUCAUUCUCAAUAAUAUAUAUACACAACCAAUCGUCAAGUUUAAACAUAAUUCUCAACAUAAUACAUGCGUAAGUUCAAACGUAAUACAAUAUUUAUUGAUACCAUCGUAGUUAUUUAAAAUGAAUCUGAAACAUGCAAUCAAAGUUUAUAAUAAUUAAUAUUCUCCCAAAAGUACAAUAUCCUUAAACGAAACAAGGACUCAAACCUAGUCUUUGAAGCUAUAAUCAUAAAUAUAUAUCAAUCACAAUAUAUAAACCAACCAACACGUAGUACAAUAAAACUUACUCAUAAAAUAUUAUCUUAUUAUAUUUAAACUACAGCUUAUUUAUUUAACGGAUAAAAUAACAACCAACCUUAGCUUUGCUAAUAUACCAUUUUAAUAUGAUAUGAAAAUAAAUUUAACAAUCCUAUAACCCAAAAUAAUAUAAUAUAAUAUUUCUAUUCACCCCUUGUUAACACCUAUUUGAAUAUCCAAUCACCAAUUCAUUAUACACUUUCUAAUUUCCUUUCUAAUUGACGUGGGACCCAUCACUUUCCUACCUUAUAAACAAAAAAAAAAUAACUUUCAAAUCCAAAAGAGACAACGCUCCUCCCUGUAACACAAUUUCUCACACAUUCCUCUCUCCCCUUCCUCAUUAAAAUGUCACUAUGACCCACACUAAACCUACAAAUCAUUAUUCUUUAUUUUAUAUUCUCCCCUUUUUCCUUUUUAACUCCCAGUAUCUAUAACUUUUCAUUCAUUUAAAACCACAAAGCCCCCAAAAGGAGAUUGACACAAUCUGCCAAAUUAACCUCACUCUUUAUAUUCUUUCUUUCUUGCUUAAUUCCUUCUCUACCCAUUUUUCAUUAAUUUAACUAUUAUAAUAUAAAUUGACCCGUAAAACAGAGACAACCCUCCAUCCUUUCCUUUCAUAUUCUUUUAUUUUCAAUUUCUUUUUACAUGAAAAUUUUGCACCGUGCAACUCUCGAGACUCUCACCUUCUCUUUCUCCACUUAACCACUAAUCCUCUCACGCUCCACCUACGUAACAACAUCCAAGAAUGCACAAGCCAUGUAGAAACCCUUCCCCUUCUUCUUCAUGCUUAUUUCAACCAAUGUAUACAUCACCCUAUGCAACCCUACUUCAUGUGACCCACCCCUUAACGAAGAAUCUCAAAGCCAACGUUUUCUUGCUAUAAAAUCAUACGUACAAUCUCAUCCCUUUUUUCACUAUUACCACACUCUCAUCUUCUCCACUCAAUCUAUGCAACCAAACCUCCCCUACUGUCAUUUAAAACAUAUGCCCACACCUCACUUCCAGGUCUUCUCAUCUUCCAUCCUUUUCUUUCCUAUUUCUGUGCUUCCUUUUCCUUUCCUCUUAAUUCUUCUCGCUACUUUCACUCAUGGCCAACUCUCUAUGAUACAUCUCCACGUCUCUCCUAAGAUAACACAACAUAAAAAAAAAAUCACGAGACCCUCCUCAUGCACCACCUUACAACGAGAAGAAACUGAGAGCUUAUAAUCUAGAGUUUCUUUUCUCCCAAAGCCCCUAGUUCUUAUCCUUCCAUGCAUCACAGAACCCAUAAAACAUUAUCAUCUGUAUAAAACAACACGUGAAUCCUCUACUACGCGGAGAAGAGUAAGUAUAUCGAAACCAUACACAAAGCUAGGUUACUCCCCUUACCUGGAAUUCCAAGGAUUGCUAUCUUCCGUUGGUUCAUUGCAAGGUUGACAAGAUCACAUUCUUCACGAAACACUCCCACUUUGUUUGGCAAGGCACAAAUGUAUCUAGGAUUGCUUUUCAUGUUCUCUUACGACUAGGGUAUAUAUCUUCCCCGUUUUACCAAGACAACAUAUAUUAUAUCCCUCUUUUCUUCUAACCCCAACACUGCCUAUACAUAUAAGCCCCCCUUCCACUAACCCAAUAUUCUAUUAAUAUUCCACUCCCUCUCUUAUGCAACGGCUUGGAAAAGAAAAUUAAAAACCUAACUUGACUUGGUCUCAUGAAAAAAACAAAACAGAUAAAACCCACGUUUAUCUUUUCCCUAAAAAUAAGGAAACUAAUUAUAAUUAAUUAAAACAAUUCUUCCUUUUGUCCACAAAACCACGUGCAACCAAAGAAAAUACAAAAAAAAUAGAAUUUGGCAAAGCAAUGUUAUAACCUUUCCGACUAGUAUACACUAAAAUAAAAAACCUCUCUCUCUCAAGCCAUGCACGGAAAACACUCAUUCUCUCUCUUCUCAUUGGUUUAAUCAAACUAAAGGCCCUAUUAUUUCUUUCUUCCAUUCACAAAAUAUAAACAUAUUAAAACAAAGGAUCCCGAUAUUCUAACAACGCAUAUUUGACAAUGCCUUUGACAACACCACGUGUCGCGU
rnacentral:lncRNA from 1 species